UACGGGGGGGGCAAGCGUUGUUCGGAAUUACUGGGCGUAAAGGGCUCGUAGGCGGCCAACUAAGUCGGAUGUGAAAUCCCCAGGCUUAACCUGGGAACUGCAUCCGAUACUGGAUGGCUUGAAUCCGGGAGAGGGAUGCGGAAUUCCAGGUGUAGCGGUGAAAUGCGUAGAUAUCUGGAGGAACACCGGUGGCGAAGGCGGCAGCCUGGACCGGCAUUGACGCUGAGGAGCGAAAGCCAGGGGAGCAAACGGG
rnacentral:rRNA from 1 species